ACAGAACUCUGCAACCCAGAUGC
rnacentral:piRNA from 1 species